GUGAAGCUUCUAUAAAUGUGAUUGUUGACAUUGAGGAUUGAAUGUGCAUGAAACUACAAAAAAUGACUCUUGGACAAAAGCAUAUCUUGGCCGCCAUGAUUUUAGUUCUUCUAUUCUCAGUAGGUAUGAGCAAACAAUAUUGUCCGGGCACAUGCACACAAUAUCCCAUCUGUAAUGCUACUUGUGUAGAAAAAUUUCACUAUCAGAUUGGACGAUGUGUUCAUGUUCCACCAAACAAUUACUUUUGUUGUUGUGCCAUGUACAGUAAUAAACUUGGAGAAUUUAAUUAGAGUGUUUCUUCUAAUAUGGGAGAAAACAUUGUGGUUUGUAAAUAAAUAAGUUUUAUUUUUGGGAAUGAAAACAUUAUAUAUGUUUUGAUGAAGCAUAGUUUUUAUCUA